rnacentral:RNase_P_RNA from 1 species
GUUGGUGAAAUGGUCGCGCCCGGCAACCGCCGGGGGAGGAAAGUCCGAACUCCGCAGAACAAGGCGCCUCUUAACAGGAGGACCCCGCGUAUAGUGGGGAUGGCAAGUGCAGCAGAAAGUAAACAUCCCAAUCUUGUAUUGGGAAAUAGGUGAAAUGGUGGUGUAAGAGACCACCAGUAUUCAUGGAAACAUGAAUAGCUGGGUAAACCCCGCCUGGAGCAAGAUCAAGCAAUCCAGUGUAGUUCGCACGUUACGGAUGGGUAGAUCGCAAGAACUCGAUCGCGAGGUCGAGACCAGAUGAAUGACCAUUAUCCCGAUUCAUCGGGAAACAGAAUUCGGCUUAUUAUCCAACCU